AUUGAACGCUGGCGGCAGGCCUAACACAUGCACGUCGAACGAGUGGCGGACGGGUGAGUAAUGUCUGGGAAAAUGCCUGAUGGAGGGGAGAACUACUGGAAACGGUAGCUAAUACCGCAUACCAUCGGAUGUGACCAGAUGGGAUUAGCUCGUAGGUGGGGUAAAGGCUCACCUAGGCGACGCUCCCUAGCUGGUCUGAGGGGAUGACCAGCCACACUGGAACUGAGACACGGUCCAGACUCCUACGGAAGGCAGCAGUGGGGAAUAUUGCACAAUGGGCGCAAGCCUGAUGCAGCCAUGCCGCGUGUAUGAAGAAGGCCUUCGGGUUGUAAAGCACUUUAAGUUGGGAGGCGUUACCAACAGAAUAAGCACCGGCUAACUUCGUGCCAGCAGCCGCGGUAAUUC
rnacentral:rRNA from 1 species